AAGAUCCUGCUUUAGAAGCAAUGCCAAUUGCUGGACAGAUCCUGGGCCUUUAAAAGUCUCCUUUCACGUGUGAAAGUUAAAGAAGAUCUGAUCUACGAAGAAGAUGUCAAUUCCCAACAGAGCCAUCUACCAGAGAUGCUGUACAAGGAAAUUUGACAUCAAUCAAAGCAACCUACUGAUGAUGUCAUGCUGGAAAUAAGGGAUACAGCACAAUGCCGGGCCCUUCUGGCUCAACGUGUCCGUACCAAGCAGGUACACCCAUGUGACCAAUUAUCCUACUAACCCGUCGUCUUUGCAUUGUGGGAAAGCCAGAGCAACUGGGAGGACGUGCAACCUCCUUCCAGACCGUGCCAGGAAUCAAACCCGUGUUACAGGUCUUUGGUAGUGGGAGGUCAGCUUAACCCAAGAUUCAAGAUUAAUUGUCAUGUGUAAUGCUGUGAAAUACGUCGCUUGUUAUCAACCAAUUCACGUAAGACAGUGCUGGGGCGGUCUGUAAGUGUGGCCACACAUUCCUGUGCCAACGUAUAGUAACAUGCCCAGCAUGAUCAGCUGGAUGACACAGAACACAACAAGCAACACGUUUCAUGAGGAGAGGAAUUUCUUUAACCAUAGACUGGUGAAUCUGUGGAAUUUUGUUGCCACAAGCAGCUAUAGAAGCCAAGUCAUUGGGUAUACUUAAGGCAGAGUUUGAUACAUUCUUGAUUAGCCAGGGCAUGAAGGGAUACGGGGCAAAGUCAGGAGAUUGGGGUGGAGAGGGAAAUAGAUUAGCCAUGGUGAAAUGGUGGAGUAGACUCAAUGGGUCAAAUGUCUAAUUCUGAUCCUUUAUUAUAUGGUUUUAUGGAAUUGUGUAUAGCUGACUGAAAGAAAAGCUGCUUAUUGGAUCUAUUGAGCUUUUUGUACAUUUAGCCUAAAGUAUUUUGAACUUUAUUGGAAAAAUGGAUGUAAUUAUCUAUGUUAUCUUUAAACUAAAAUAAACUGUGCUAUGUAAACACACACCGGAGUCCAUUAGCAGCCACAGCUCAAGCUGUAACCCUGUUGGCUAUGUUUCAUACAAUGCAGUUAGAUUCUUGAUUGCCACUCUGCACUUGGGCAAUAGAUUCACUUUGCGAGCUGUGGUCACACUCAGUGUGGCUAACAUUCCCUUUCUCUCUGCUACUUAUGAUAGGUGCUUGAAAAGCCAACUCAAACACAUUGACAAAGGAUGACAAUCCACUGGCAUGAGCAUCCAGUCAUUUAGAAUAAUGUGCUUUUCUUCCAAUUGUUUUAAAAGCUUCUGACAAAUCUCUUAAGUGAAUUCUUUCUCCUCCUGGUCACUUUACUCGGUUAAAUCACCUGGUUAUUCAUUCCCCUUACUUCUAGUCACCCAGAUUUAUCUGCCUUCACCUUUCUUAGCAAAAGACAAAGGAUAUCGAAACCUAGCAAAUAUUGAAAGAGUGUAUAUGGAGGAGAUGUUUCCAAUAGUGCAAGAGUAUUGGACCAGACAGAAGAGCCACGGAGUAAAAGAAUUUUUUAGGCAGAAAGUAGCAAGUUGGUGAAAUUCAUUGCUAUAAAUGGCUGUGGGGGGCUAUUCAUUAGGUAUUUUCAAAGAAGAGGUUGAUAGGUUCUUGAUUAGUCAGUCUGUAGAAGGUUAUGGGGAGAAGGACGGAGAAUGGGUAUAAAAGGAAAAGUACAUCAGCCAUGAUCAAGUUUUGGCACAGAUUCAAUGGGCUGAAUGGCCUCUAAUCUGCUUCUAUGUCUUAUAGUUUUAUGGUUUAACAUCCCCCAAAAUAACUGUAAUUGAUUACAGUUGUUCCUACCUUACGAUUACAAGUAUUUACAUUUACAUAGAACUUUAACUGAUGAAAAAUGUACCAAAAGCUUCACAGGAAUGUCAUUAUAUAACUCUUGACUGUAAGCCAGGUACGCCAGUGUAGCUAACAGAAACUGAGGUCAAAAGAGUUAAGUUAGAAGGAGCAUAUUGAAGGACAGAGGCAAGACUGUUCAGUGAGCAAAUUCAAGAACAUGUCUGAAUAUUAGUUGGCAGAUAGGUAGAGAACAGUUAGAUACCUACAGAGUGUACACCAGCACCUUCUGAAGCUUUG